rnacentral:lncRNA from 1 species
AUGGAGCCGCAGCUGACUCCAGAGGGACGGGGACUGCCUCUCUCUCCAGGAAUGGCUCGACCGCCCGGCACCGUCUUUUCAAAACAAGGGUUACGUCAAGACCGCCCCGUGGCCUGGGACCCGGCCUCCUCCGAGCGGAUCCCAGUGGGCCGUGAUCAGAAUGGUCCAGCCGCCACGGCGCUGGAGCCAGCACACGGCGUCCCGAUGCCGCGGCUGCCAGGAAGUGAAGUCAGCGAUGACGGCCAUUUGGAGUCAAUUGAACCGGCCCUUGUGGAAGUCGACCGGACGGCAGUCAUCCACGAGGGCGGUUCUUCUACACUCCAGCCGAACGCAGCACCGCCCCUUGUGGUUCUCUCUGAUGACCUGGGUCUUCUGUCGACAUUGUUUGGAUCAGAUGAGGAGCUUCCAAAGCUAGGUGUGGCUCCAGAAGGCCCAGAGGACGUGAAAAAGGGACGGCCGAAACCAACCACUACGGUCGAGGGAGGGAACCAGGACCAGUUCGGACCGUCGCUGAAGAGCGAUGUCUUCGGGGAUCUGACGCCAAAAGACACUCAGGCGUCGGUGCCACUUCCUCCCCAGGCCACGCCCCUAACGGCGACCGCACAGAACCACCCGGACACGGGUCCGAGGUUUAUAGAUCUGCCACGCAUUGUGAAACUCAAACCUAGCUCCAUCACCUUCUCGGAUUACCGCAGCCCAGACUACACCGAGUCGGAUUACAACCGUGUGGAGUACACCUGUAACUCCUGCAGGCCCGUCUUCUUCAACUUCAGCUCUGACGGAGGUGGAUCUUCGCAGGAGGAGGAGAACAAUGACGAUGAUGAGGAAGAGGACGGGGAUGACGAUGAAGAUCAUGGGGAUGAGGAUGUCUUCCUUGACCACGGGGCUAGUCCGAGGUGUAGAGGGGCGGGCAGAGAGAGGCGCCGGAGGAAGCAGUCCAAGGAAGUGCCCAGCGGAGCCGGACGGCGUCCAGCGGAACGGAAGACCGAUUGUAACGGGUCUCUGUGGUGUGAGUCCAUGUCCCAGCUGAUGAAAAAACUCGACCAGCUCAACGUGGACAUCGAGGAGGCCCUGAGUGCUGGCUCCUCCCCCUCACACACGCCAGCACCUGCCCGCAGGAGACAGGUAAGCUCAUUUACAUAAUCAACAUUAACGACCAGGCCUCAUUCGCAUCUAGGCUAUUUACAUUGAAUGAUAUUCAAUACUUCAGUGAUCCUGAAUAUGUUUAUAUCUCCAACAUAGUAACAUACGUAGGCCUAUGUAUAAUAAAAUACAUCUGUGAUAUUCUUUCUAGUUUUUCAAUCAAUUAUUAUGUAUAAAUACAAAUAUUUUAUUUUAUUUAAAUAGUGUAAUUUAAAACCUUACAUAAUACUUGACAAAGUUAACAUGGUAAAUGUAGUCCUUGUUUGCAAAUACAACUAACUUACCUUACCUUACCUAAAACAGGAACUGGGUUCUGACAUGUCAGUGGGUGGGAUGUAGAUAAAUCCUUUAGAUUCCAAUAGUGUUUUUUUUGCAAAACUUUAUGAAGCAAUCAUUCCAGUUGAAAUCAAGAAAAAGUCGAUGUAAUAGGUCAGAUAACUUUCAUGUUGACAUUCAUAUUGACAUAUCCACUUAACAUCGUUUAGUUUGUCUCCAAAACUCACAAUAUAUUAAGGUUUAUUUCCUGGAUCUUAUUUCAUUAUAAAGUUUAAAAAAAUAAGUUUAAUAAAAAUGUAUGUAUUAUUAAAUCGUCUUUACGUAAACAGGAGCGGAUGACAGAAAAACACGAUUGAAUGAUGCUUAGAAUGUUUACUAUAAUGUUAUUCAUUUUCCAAGAUUAAUAAAGCACAUUGUUAUUAUCUUUUUAAUAAUGUUUACUAAUAUCUUAAAUAUACUUUAUUGAUCCUUUGGGAAAAGUACAUUGGAAAUCAUUACAGUCACAGCUGCUCUGCUCAUGAUAAUUAAUCAAAGAUUAAAAUGGCAAUACAAUUAUAUACCUAAUAAACAAAAUAUAUCAAAUUCUAGAUAUGGCAUAUUGUAUUGAGAUGCAAAAAGAUGUAAAUUGCACAUUGACUAUGGCAUGAAGUAUUUAUAUGUGAAGCAUGGUUUGUUUGAAGGGUUUCAGCAUGUGCAGCGUGUGUGAGGAGAGAGUAGGAGUCAUUAAACACACGGGGGGGCUCUCUGACUUAAGGCCUCAGAUACUUGGCAUACCUUCCAGUCACACAGCCGCUCUUUGUCCCCGUGUUUCCGCUGCCCCCCCCCGUCCGUCUGGAGUCCUGCGGCGUGACGUAAGACCCGCCGUCGCCGUCGUAGCGCCGUAAAAACGGCGUGCAGCGCAGCGGAAUGGUCGUGGCGGUAAACAGACCGCCAUUGUGCUUUGAGGUCCGCAGAAAAUAUCAGCGCUCAGACCUCGCGUCCGCGCCGGAACAAGAGAGCUCUUUGGGGGCCUGAGUGUGUUGGGCACACAGAAGGGGCCUGUUGUACAUGAGAGAGGCGUUAUGUAUGACCCGGCGGCGGGGGGCGGGGGGGGGGGGCGGGGGGCGGGCCCAAUGGGGGCGUCUGCGUCUGCGUGGUCAUGUGUCCAUCGCUCCCGGGUGUAGCAGGACAUCUGCAGAGCGGCGAGGUUGAUGAAGGUCACCGUCUUUUCUUUCGUCUCUGAGGGGGGGCAGGGGGGGGGGGGGGGGGGGGGGGGGGGGGGGGGGGGUGGGGUGGGGUGGUUGACCUUUGACCUCUUGUGUUUUUUUUUUUUUUUUUUUUCGUGGAGUCCGCAUUGUUCCGAUCGCGUAGCGGUUGGACUCGGAACACAGGCCGGACCGUUGGUGUAGUAUAGAACCAGUAAGAGAGAGAGAGGGUGUUACAUCCUCGUCAUCCUUUCUGAGAGAGAGAGAGAGAGAGAGAGAGAGAGAGAGAGAGAGAGAGAGAGAGAGAGAGAGAGAGAGAGAGAGAGAGAGAGAGAGAGAGAGAGAGAGAGAGAGAGAGAGAGAGAGAGAGAGAGAGAGCAUAUUGAAAGCAUCACGGCGGCCUACAUAAAUAACUUGACAUGUAGUUUAGAUUCCCCAUUUGGUGGUAUGGAGUGUGUAGUUCAUCCCCGUUGGUUCGCACAUCUUUUUUUCCUUCAGAAGUAAAAGGAAAAGGCUCUGGAUUUCCCUGAUUGGAUGACUACCACGAGGGGGCAGGAAGGUCAGGCAGGAAGUGUGCUUGAAGCGCACUUCCUGCCUGACAUAAAGUAGCUGUAAAAGUGUCUGUAACAACCCCCCUCCCCUCUCCUCACUCCUCUCUGUGGGAAAUUCUUACCGGGCGCUUGUCUCAAAUGAGCAUACUAGUUUACCUAGCUCGUACCUCAAUCAUUACGGCCUGUGGUGGUCCUGAAUGAAUGUCGUAGGACGUGAGGGAACCAAGGCCUGAUAUGUAUUCAUUACUGUAGGUGAGGACCUAGAGAAAGGAUUGCACAUGCUACAACAAUAACAUUUCUCAAAAUAUGUCAUUACAGUUAAACGUAUGUUUAAUUUUCAGCAGAAGCUAGCUAUCUUCUUAGCAACAUUUUGCCCUUGCUGUGAAGAGUCUUCAAACAGACAGAAACCAGGGAGAGAAAGAGUGAGAGCAGUGGAGAGAGGGAGAGAUAUGCUGUCCAGCUGUCAAUCAACAUUCUCUCCUCUCUAGUUAACUAGGUUGGUCUCUUGAGAUUAAUAACCUUGUUUACGAUAGAGUCAUGGCCAAGAAGGUCAGCAGAACAUGAAGUUACACAUCUAUAAAACACAACAUGCAGCACAGCAAACUAAUAGCAUAUUACUGGUAAACAACCCUCUUGCACACCCCUUGUUGUGUGACUUUGGACAUGUGUCAACCAUCUGACACAUGCUCUCUGCCCUCCCUCUCUCUUCCCUUCCGAGAGAGGGAGAGGAGGAGGGAAGGAGGGGGGGGGGGAGGAACAAAGAGAGGGAGGCAAAAAUUCCUUUCAGAGAGGAAGAGAACAACAGAAGAGGAGAAGGGAGGAGGAAAGGAGUAAGAGGGAGAGAGGAGAGCGAUGGACAUCAUUGCAUCAGAGAGGAAGUUAAUUGUUUAGACAUCUGGGUCUGUUUUGUCUAUAUCUGUUUGCAUUUGUUGUUUCUAUUUUGUGAGGUUAUUUUGUUUUUACUUUAAAUUCAUGCCUGUUUUCUCUUUUCCUGACUUAUUUCUUUUAGCUGCACAUGAUUAAGCGACAUUCAAUAAUUCAUCGUUCCCUAUACCAAUUAAGAGAAUGAGAGAGGGGAAGGGAAUACAAAUGAAUUCAUGGAUAAUUGUGUGAAUGAAUAAAUUAUAGAUGGAUGAAUGUCUUUCGGGUCCUGACAUGUUUUAUUUUAUUUGGGAACAUUUUUCCUACAUUUAUUUUUGAAAUUGGGUCGGACCCCAGUUGGAGGAUGGGACAGAUUUAGAUACACCACCAUCGAAAGUGUCCCAUUUUUACUGUUCCAUUUCCAUGACCUGCGCCCUCCCUGUAUGCCCAUUACGUUCACGUUGAAUCCAGUUUUUUCCAGGGUUCCAGGGUUUGGCGCGGGACCCAACUUUCCUUUCCAAAAAUGUCUUACGGCUUCGAACUUCUUAUAUAGUUGGCGCUAUAUGUCUGCUUCCCGGGACAUCAAUUUAAGCCAACUAACAUCUGCCUGUCAUAUCAACUUCCUAGUGAAAAAGCUGGUAGGCCUACUAGUUUGCUCGUGGCUAAGAAUCAUUAGGCAGCCUGCCCUUAAAAUCGAAUAUGCACCAUCAAAUGUCAAUUGCCUCUUAGCCAACAAUCUCCUGCAAUCCCCUAUUAUACAUAUUAGGUGUCGUGUUCCUGACCCACAGUUUUCAACCACUUAUUCCUUGGAACAGAUCUUCAAGGAUCCCAACUUCCAAUCCAAGCUAGAUCAUGCAAUAAGAACCAUGUCUGACCUCUGAAAGGCUGAAUGAACCAACCUGACGGUUGGUGUUUUAAUACUGAGUGCUAUAUAUAGAAGUCUAACCCUUGAUGCUCCAGGCAAAGUUUGAGAUGCACUGGCUUGCCUUGUCCCUCGCAACCACCUCCUCAAAGUGAUGAAGUUGGACCAGUCGAAGCCAAGUCUCACACUCAAUAAGCUGCAGGGGAACUUUAGUGACAUCACUGGCUGCACUUCAUAACUUCACCAAGAACAAACACUC